rnacentral:rRNA from 1 species
GACGAACGCUGGCGGCGUGCUUAACACAUGCAAGUCGAACGGGAAGGCCCUGCUUGCAGGGUCCUCGGGUGGCGAACGGGUGAGUAACGCGUGGGUGAUCUGCCCUGCACUUCGGGAUAAGCCCGGAAAACUGGGUCUAAUACCGGAUAGGAGCCAUAUUUAGUUUGAUUGUUGGAAAGUUGUUUCGGUGUGCGAUGAGCUCGCGGCCUAUCAGCUUGUUGGUGGGGUAGUGGCCUAGCAAGGCGGCGACGGGUAGCCGGCCUGAGAGGGUGGACGGCCACGCUGGGAUGGAGCUGAGACACGGACUCCACCCGGAGGCAGCGGUGGGGUAGAGUGUACAGUGGGCGGAAGGAUGGUCCAGCGACGCCGCGUGGGGGAUGACGGGCUUCGGGUUGUAAACUCCUUUCGCUAUGGACGAAGCUAUUUGUGAAGGUACCGAGAAAAGAAGCACGGGCAAACUAGGG